UAGGGAAUCUUCCGCAAUGGACGCAAGUCUGACGGAGCAACGCCGCGUGAGUGAAGAAGGAUUUCGGUUCGUAAAACUCUGUUGUUAGAGAAGAACAGCGCAUAGAGUAACUGUUAUGCGUGUGACGGUAUCUAACCAGAAAGCCACGGCUAACUACGUGCCAGCAGCCGCGGUAAUACGUAGGUGGCAAGCGUUGUCCGGAUUUAUUGGGCGUAAAGCGAGCGCAGGCGGUCAAUUAAGUCUGAUGUGAAAGCCCCCGGCUCAACCGGGGAGGGUCAUUGGAAACUGGUUGACUUGAGUGCAGAAGAGGGGAGUGGAAUUCCAUGUGUAGCGGUGAAAUGCGUAGAUAUAUGGAGGAACACCAGUGGCGAAGGCGACUCUCUGGUCUGUAACUGACGCGGAGGCUCGAAAGCGUGGGUAGCAAACAGG
rnacentral:rRNA from 1 species